rnacentral:rRNA from 1 species
GACGUAGGGUGCAAGCGUUGUCCGGAUUUAUUGGGCGUAAAGAGCUCGUAGGCGGCUUGUUGCGUCGACUGUGAAAACCCGCGGCUUAACCGCGGGCUUGCAGUUGAUACGGGCAGGCUAGAGUUCGGUAGGGGAGACUGGAAUUCCUGGUGUAGCGGUGAAAUGCGCAGAUAUCAGGAGGAACACCGGUGGCGAAGGCGGGGCUGUGGGCCGAUACUGACGCUGAGGAGCGAAAGCGUGGGGAGCGAACAGG